CGCUCUCUGUGUAAUAAAUUAAAUAGAGAGUCGGACCUGCCCAGUGACGUAGUGUUAAACGGCCGCGGUACUCUGACCGUGCAAAGGUAGCAUAAUCACUUGCCUUUUAAUUGGAGGCUUGUAUGAAUGGUUUGACGAGAGCUAAGCUGUCUCCUUUUUAAUAUUUAGAAAUUAAUUUAUAAGUGAAGAGGCUUAUAUAUAUUUGAGGGACAAGAAGACCCUAUUGAGUUUAAGUGAAAUUGAAAGUGAAAUACUAUGUUUUAAAUAUCAUGUAGUAAUAGUUGUAUUUAUAGAGGUUAGGCUUUUAUUUAAUCUUUAGUUGGGGCGACUGAGGAGUAUGAGAAGCUUCCUUUGGAAUAGGUUAUGACUAAGCGAGUUAAUUUGAUCCAAUUUUAUUGAUUAAAGGAAAAAAUUACCAUAGGGAUAACAGCGUAAUCUUUUUGGAGAGUUCUUAUCGAAGAAAGGGUUUGCGACCUCGAUGUUGGACUAAGAUAUCCUAGAGGUGUAGAAGUUUCUGAGGGUUGGUCUGUUCGNCC
rnacentral:rRNA from 1 species